ensembl:lncRNA
GGCGGAAGGUCCCCGGGGCCUCCCGCGCGCACGGGGCGCUCCCUGCCCCCACUCUCUCUCCACCUGGGGCUUCUUUUCCCUGAGGAGAAGCAGGAACUUAGCUCCGAUCAUGGCUGGUCUUCAGAAAGAAUUUUUUUUUUUUUUCAAUUUUCUUUCUUUCUUUCUUUCUUUUUUUUUAAUUUUUUUUAAAAUUUUAUUCUAAUGAUGGUACCUGUGCAGCUUCCAGACUUGCUAGAGCCAUGGUCAGAAAACUGGUAGCCUCCAAAGUUUUCUUUUAGAAAUCAGAUUCUGAUUGGUAGUCUAAGCUUGCCUGACAUUGAAGUUGCCCUUGGAGACAAGUUGUAUGAGUCAGGCUCUCUCAGCCUACAUCUCCAGGUUAAAUACACUAUUUUUUCAACUAGGAGAAUACGUGAAGAUACAACUCAGUAGUCUUCCUUUAAUCACAGCAACAGUAUUGCACUAUGAUUCUGUGCCAAAUACUGAGAUAUUCUGCUGUUGAUUCCUUCUAGAGAUACCAAGGGAAUAUUUCAUGCAAAGAUGGGCUUAAUAAAGGACAGAAAUGGUAUGGACCUGACAGAAGCAGA